rnacentral:lncRNA from 7 species
ACACAAUACAAGCCUUAGACUGUCUUCAGCGUCUCACCCUCCCCUACAACUGUAGCACCUGUAGAGGUUACAGUGCUCCGCUAAAUCCUGCAGCGGUGUACCCUAAACUUGUUACAGUGCUAGCGGAGGGAGCUCUGUACCUCCAAAUCAAGGGUCGCACCAAAGGAUCCUCUCUUCUCGAUUUUUGCGUACACCAGUAUUUGUCAGUUCAAGAAAAAAUAACAGUGGAUGAUAAAUAUGUAUAGAAAUUGAUAUUUUAUAGUUGUAGUGGGGUAUAGGGGAAGGAUUUAGGGGAACCGCUGUACAGGGUGGAGAUAUAGGGGGAAGAGAACGCUGACGUGGCACGUGAGUGGGAUAUAGGGGGAGAAAUUUAGGGGUAACCGCUGAAGACAGUCUUAGUUACUCCUGCUUAGGAGACGUAUCCCUUCUCUCUUUGUGGUUUUGUUGCUUGCUACGCAACAUCUCCAUUGCUAAGGUCUUCGCGUAGGAAUGUAAAUGAUACGGAUAUUAUUCGUCUGUAUUCGAAUUCAACUCAUCUAAGAGGACUGAAAAUUUAUCGGUAUCUGAGUCCGGGUAUUUAGUAUUUAGGAUCCAUAUCUGAUCCAUAUAUGUAUCUGUAUACUCAAAGUUGAUAUUUAAUAUAUCGAUGUUCAU